UCGCUCUGUGCCAAUAGUCGCUGUGAAUCGUCUGUUCAAAAAAGACGAUCGUCUUGUCGCCGCGAUUUACUUUUUUAAAACGUUGGCGACAAAUCGUCCAGUGUGUCCUUACCCUUAAUGUGAGUUCCGUGUUUGAUACAAGUGAGGUGAGUUGGGGGGUGUCAUCAGUAUACUAGCCGCCUGAUCUAACCCUGUAUCCUUGCUCUGGUAAUGAACCUUGGUGCUUGUGAAUGUCUUGUGCUUGGGAAGGGUGUAAUCAAUAUCAUUAGGCAUAUUGUAAUAUCUCAUAUCUCAUAUCCCAUAACUAAGUGAGGUAAAGAAUUAACAGUGACUCUGGGCUCAGGGCAGUGUACACUAUAAACACAGACGCAAAGACUGACAGAACAAAGACUAUCCUGUCGUAAAAGGUGAUUGCCUUCAUAUCUAUCUCCUAACACUGUUGUAUAAAUGUGGAACAGCUAUCAUGGACAAAGAGAGGAGUCCAUAGACCCGGCCUCGGGUGAGGAAACAACAAAGUCAAUGAAUGGCAUGGGAGGAUCCCAACAACAAAGGAUGAAAGGAUAUGUGUUUACACCCUCAAGGUGUCAGAACAGGUUUCAGACCUUGGGAACAAAUGUCAGAUAUGGAAGUGACUGUCUGUGCAACACUGCCACCCACAGGACAUCUUAAACAUCAUUAGUUGAUCUACACUGCCAUCUACAGGACACUACUGACUUGGAGGUUUCCAUGGCUCAUCAUAUGACAUCGACUUGAUUGGCUGGGACUGUCUUUUGGGUGUGGCUAUCCUGGGAAAAGUGUAGUAUGCUUGUUUGAAUGGUCUUCCUUAUGUGUAUAUAAAGAGCAUUGUAAAUCCCUUGUUAGUUAGUCACUUUCCACUCCCUUACAUUGCAUCCUUCCCUAUCCCUUUCUACCUCCCUCCAUGUUAGUUAGUUCCCUUUUUAUGUUAUACCUUUUAGUUCCUUUGUAAAUAAAUACCACUUAUUUAAAGAUCAGUCUGUCUCAAGUCAUUAGCCUGGCACCUCAAAAUAGAGCAGAUCCAACAUAUUGGCACCCCAGAUUUGACGAUUUCAACUAAACCCAUCAUCGUAAGGAAAAGGAAUCUGCUUGGCUGAGAAGAUUUGAGAAGCCUGAGACUGACGCGUUAAAGGUCUGACCAGAAAAGAAAGCCUGGAGCCUAACACAGAGUACUAGUGGAAGAACGAUUGUCCAUUUAUCCUGUAAAAUGAAGAAGAUACUGUGAUUUUAAAAUUGAUUUUUUUUUCAACAGGUUGUAGAUUUGUUUUAAGGAGCACAGCACCUGAUGAUUUUGUGUCUUACACUAAAUAACCCUGAUUAACUGGAUAACUGUUUUUAAAACCACGUGGUACAAUCAAUGAGCUCAAUAGUAAAAUAAUUGUUUGCAAACAAUUUAAAAAACAAUAUUUAAACUCAAUAACAUCUCUUCACAAUACUGGUUUCCUUGGUAUAUUAUUAACUUUAUUGUCCACAGGUAUUUGUUUUUGUUCAUGUAUUUGUGUUGUUAAAUGUAAAUGUGUUUAUCUUUGUUUUACAUGUUGUCUCUGUUUAGUGUUUUGUGUUAGUUUGUAUACAGUAUUAGUAUCUUCAUUGUUUUAUCAAAACACUGCUAAAAAUAGCAGACCGUGUAAUUUUGAAUUUAUUUUUUUUCCAAUUUUUUUUUUUGCUCUCUACUUGCAUAAUGGUACCUACGUUUUUCGGUACCAAAUGGGGGGUGAUCAUAGUUUUUCUUUCCUAAAGCCCAUCAAAAGAUGCAGUAGAUACAUGAAAAUGUUUUUACAAUUUUUUUUUAUUGUUUUUUUGCAGCUUUCAUUUUAUAUCAUUUUAUAUUAUUUUUUUUAACAGAAUGUACUGAACAGAUAAUAAUGCUAAGCAUAUGGUCCUGCUCUUGCUCUUUUAUUUCCAGGAUCCAUGAAACUACAUAGAAAACAAAAUGUGGGCCCUGGAUCAACUGAGUUUGGUUAUGUUUUGAAGGGCAAAUGUGUUUAGAACUUUUGAAUUUUAUUAAGACAGGUUUCAGAACAGCAUUACUCACACAUUGUUCAGGUUAAAUGGAAUACAUAGGGCACAACUUUCUUCUUAGAAUAAGUAUGUUUAUGUGUAUAUAUAUAUAUAUAGCAAUAUAAGUAUGUUAUUUAUGUUUUAGUUAAUGAUGUGUUUCGUUGGUUAUACAUAGUGCAUUUGCAUAUAAAGUUAGAAGGCAUUAUGCAGAUAAAAAUAACAUUAAUUUAAGAAUAUGCAGACUAGCAAACAAAUGUCUGUAUUAUACAGAGUUUAAUUUGGUGUUAUGCUACAUGGAAUGUACAUGUAUAUAUAAGGUGCAGUGUUUGGUGGUAUUGACAACCUAUGUUAUUGCCUUGUAUCUUAUCAUGUGUGAAUGAGAGUGAAUGGUGCAAUGUUGUCUGUUCCCUGCCCAAGGAUGUUACACCGAUAUAGCCACAAGUCCGAAGAGGUUCUUCCAAUGCUUUCAUGGUGUGUCCUUCAGACACAAAUGGGGGAAUGUAAUAUCUCAUAUCUCAUAUCCCAUAACUAAGUGAGGUAAAGAAUUAACAGUGACUCUGGGCUCAGGGCAGUGUACACUAUAAACACAGACGCAAAGACUGACAGAACAAAGACUAUCCUGUCGUAAAAGGUGAUUGCCUUCAUAUCUAUCUCCUAACACUGUUGUAUAAAUGUGGAACAGCUAUCAUGGACAAAGAGAGGAGUCCAUAGACCCGGCCUCGGGUGAGGAAACAACAAAGUCAAUGAAUGGCAUGGGAGGAUCCCAACAACAAAGGAUGAAAGGAUAUGUGUUUACACCCUCAAGGUGUCAGAACAGGUUUCAGACCUUGGGAACAAAUGUCAGAUAUGGAAGUGACUGUCUGUGCAACACUGCCACCCACAGGACAUCUUAAACAUCAUUAGUUGAUCUACACUGCCAUCUACAGGACACUACUGACUUGGAGGUUUCCAUGGCUCAUCAUAUGACAUCGACUUGAUUGGCUGGGACUGUCUUUUGGGUGUGGCUAUCCUGGGAAAAGUGUAGUAUGCUUGUUUGAAUGGUCUUCCUUAUGUGUAUAUAAAGAGCAUUGUAAAUCC